rnacentral:rRNA from 1 species
AGCGAACGCUGGCGGCAGGCCUAACACAUGCAAGUCGAACGGAUCCUUCGGGAUUAGUGGCGGACGGGUGAGUAACACGUGGGAACGUGCCCUUUGGUUCGGAACAACUCAGGGAAACUUGGGCUAAUACCGGAUGUGCCCUUCGGGGGAAAGAUUUAUCGCCAUUGGAGCGGCCCGCGUCUGAUUAGCUAGUUGGUGAGGUAACGGCCCACCAAGGCGACGAUCAGUAGCUGGUCUGAGAGGAUGAUCAGCCACACUGGGACUGAGACACGGCCCAGACUCCUACGGGAGGCAGCAGUGGGGAAUCUUGCGCAAUGGGCGAAAGCCUGACGCAGCCAUGCCGCGUGAAUGAUGAAGGUCUUAGGAUUGUAAAAUUCUUUCAGCGGGGACGAUAAUGACGGUACCCGCAGAAGAAGCGCCGGCUAACUUCGUG